GACGAACGCUGGCGGCGUGCCUAAUACAUGCAAGUAGAACGCUGAAGGAGGAGCUUGCUUCUCUGGAUGAGUUGCGAACGGGUGAGUAACGCGUAGGUAACCUGCCUGGUAGCGGGGGAUAACUAUUGGAAACGAUAGCUAAUACCGCAUAAGAGUAGAUGUUGCAUGACAUUUGCUUAAAAGGUGCAAUUGCAUCACUACCAGAUGGACCUGCGUUGUAUUAGCUAGUUGGUGAGGUAACGGCUCACCAAGGCAACGAUACAUAGCCGACCUGAGAGGGUGAUCGGCCACACUGGGACUGAGACACGGCCCAGACUCCUACGGGAGGCAGCAGUAGGGAAUCUUCGGCAAUGGACGGAAGUCUGACCGAGCAACGCCGCGUGAGUGAAGAAGGUUUUCGGAUCGUAAAGCUCUGUUGUAAGAGAAGAACGAGUGUGAGAGUGGAAAGUUCACACUGUGACGGUAUCUUACCAGAAGGGGACGGCUAACUACGUG
rnacentral:rRNA from 1 species